rnacentral:lncRNA from 1 species
GGAUAUCAAUCCUGACUCGGCAUUGGGAAAACCCUCACAGAUACCUGUUGACUUCACUGGGGAAACACUCACAGAGACUCUGCUAGGGGAAUAGCAAUCUCCAGACUCAUCUGGGGAAACAUCACUCUAUCACCUGCUGGGGAUAACCAUCCUGACCCGGCUAGGGAAACGCAUACUACUCCGCUGGGGAUACCCAUGCAAUCCAUAGGUAGAAUCAACUCAGCUGGAGAUGCAAACAUCCGUCCGCUACGGGAACUCGUUC